rnacentral:tRNA from 1 species
GGGGAUUUAGCUCAGCGGUAAGCGCCUGCCUUGCAAGCAGGCAGUCAUGAGUUCAAUCCCUG